rnacentral:rRNA from 1 species
GAUGAACGCUGGCGGUGUGCUUAACACAUGCAAGUCGAACGGAAACGCCCUGCUUGCAUGGUACUCGAGUGGCGAACGGGUGAGUAACACGUGGGUGCUCUGCCCUGCACUUCUGGAUAAGCCUUGGCAACUGGGUCUAUUCCCGGAUACGACCCACUUCUAGUGUGUUGGUUCGAAAGUUUUUUGGGUGUAGGCUGAUUUCGUGGGCUAUCAGCUUGUUGGUGGGGUAAUGGGCUACCAAGGCGGCGACGGGUAGCGCGACUGCUAGGGUGGGAGGCGACAAUGGUACUGAGGGGCGGCCCAGACGCCUACGGGAGGAAGAAGGGGGGAAGAUUGAACAAGGGGCGCAAGGCGGGUGCAGCGAGGCCGCGGGGGGGAAGGCGGCUUUGGGGUUGAAGAAACCUUUCGGGAGGGACGAAGCUUUUUGUGACGGUACCUAAAUAAGAAGCACCGGCUAACUACGUG